UAUAUAUAUAUAUAUAUACAUAUACUUUUGUUUUAUUUAUGAUUCUUAUUAUUUAUAAUUGAAUUUUUUUCUUAGUAUAAUUUUUUUUUUCCUUCACAUUAUUUAUAUAUAUACAUAUAUAUAAUUUUUAUAUUUAUAAGAUUAAACAAAAUAAUCAUAUAUGCUAUAUUAUAAAAAAAAUAAAAAAAGAUAUAUAUAUUUUUAUACUUUUAAGGUUUAAUUUUUUGCUAUCCGCCAUUUUCUUAUUAUAUAAAAGAAAAAUGUAUAACCCAAAUUUUCUUUCUUUUUGAAUAUAAUUAUAUUUUUAUGUAUAGAUAUAUAUUUAUAUUUAUUUAUUUUAUAAUUUAUAUUAUAUUAUUGAUUUUUUUUUUUUUUUUUUUUUUUCUCUUCUUUUCUUUCCUCUCUCCUUUUUUUUUUUCUUUUCUUUUUUUCUUCAUAUUUUCAUUUUUUUUUUUUUUUUUUGUUUUUGUACAACCAUAUAAAAUAGUUGUAUAAUUCAACUAGAUUAUAUUUUUUCUGUUAUUUUAUUUUUUUUUUUUUUGUAAAAUGUAUAUAUUAUAAAUAUAUAUUAUUUCUAUGUGUAUAUAAUAUAUUAUAUCUUUUCAUGGUUACUUUAUAUAUGUCACAAUCUACCUUAUUGUAGUAUGUAAAAAAAUAAAUAAAUAAAAAAGAGAAUGAAAGGAGACUAAAUAAAAAUGUAUAAAUAAAUAAAUACAUACAUAUAUAUAUAUAUAUAUAUAUAUAUAUAUAUAUGUAUAUGUAAACAUAAAAUAUAAUGUGUUCUGCUAUGACAUUAAUAGUAUAAUUUUUUUUUUUUUUUUUUCUUUCCUGGUUACAAUUAAAAAAAGAAAAGCAAAUUUAUUAUAUUUUAAGUAUCAAUUUGUAUAUCUCUAUAAAAGGUAGGCCCCCUUCCAAA